rnacentral:rRNA from 1 species
UGGAACCUGCCCAGUGCAAAAACGUAAACGGCCGCAGUACCUUGACUGUGCUAAGGUAGCAUAAUCAGUUGGCUUUUAAAUGGAGUCGGGAAUGAAUGGGUCAAUGGGAUAAAGCUGCUCUCUUUUAUAUUGAUUUGAAUUUACUUAUUAGGUGAAAAUUCCUAUAUUUAGAAAAAAGACGAGAAGACCCUAGGAGUUUUAACUAAUAGUUAUUUUUAACUUAUGUUUUGGUUGGGGCGACGUUGGAGAAUUAUAACCUCCCAUAACUUUAUUUGCCGAUAAAAUAUGAUAAUAUAAACUACCCUAGGGAUAACAGCGUAAUUCUUUUAGAGCUUGCGACCUCGAUGUUGGACUAGGAAUUUACUAGGCUAGCCGCUUAUUUAUAUUGUUCUGUUC